rnacentral:rRNA from 1 species
GACGUAGGAGGCGAGCGUUAUCCGGAAUCACUGGGCGUAAAGGGCAUGUAGGCGGUUGCGCAAGUCGUGUGUUAAAGCCCCUGGCUCAACUAGGGGAGGUCAUGCGAGACUGUGCGGCUAGAGGGCAGGAGAGGCACGUGGAACUCCCGGUGUAGCGGUGGAAUGCGUAGAUAUCAAGAGGAACACCUGAGGUGAAGACGGGUUGCUGGGCUGACACUGACGCUGAGGCGCGAAAGCCAGGGGAGCAAAC